AUAAGCCUCUGGCCCCAUGGUCUUUCAGUGAUAGAAGAAGGCCCAGAUUUUCAUCUCUUUCCACAGAUGCAGGUGGCAAUCCCUGUAAAUGGUUCUAGGCCCUGGCACCUCCUGGCUGUGGAACAAUGAGCAAAUAAGUCACUUAAUUUCUCUUGGCUUCAGUUUCUUCAUCUGUCGACUGGAAAGAGUCCCUGCACUACCUACCUCAGAGGGUGGUUGGGAGGAAAGCACUCUGCAAGCCCCUUGGACAUAGUCCUUGUGUCCUUUUGGAGAUCAUGGGAGUUCCCCUGUGACCAUCUGGAUUGAGAAAGAAGACCCUUCAAAGAAGCUACACACUCUGCUCUCUCCAUCCUCCAGGGUGGCGGACUACAGGCAGCAAAUGUGAUGUAUACCAUCAAACCUGGC